GGCGCUUACAGCCACAUUCGAAACACCGGUUCUCAUACGAUCACCGAAGUUAAGCAAUGACAAUCCUGGUCAGUACCUAGGUGGGUGACCGUUUAAGAAUACCAGGUGU